GAUGAACGCUCGCUACAGGCUUAACACAUGCAAGUCGCAGGGUAACAUGAGGAAAGCUUGCUUUCCUUGAUGACGACUGGCGCACGGGUGAGUAACGCGUAUCCAACCUUCCCAUAACUACGGGAUAACCCGUUGAAAGACGGCCUAAUACCGUAUGACAUCGUUUGCUGACAUCAAAUAACGAUUAAAGGUUUAGCGGUUAUGGAUGGGGAUGCGUCUGAUUAGCUUGUUGGCGGGGUAACGGCCCACCAAGGCGACGAUCAGUAGGGGUUCUGAGAGGAAGGUCCCCCACAUUGGAACUGAGACACGGUCCAAACUCCUACGGGAGGCAGCAGUGAGGAAUAUUGGUCAAUGGGCGAGAGCCUGAACCAGCCAAGUAGCGUGCAGGAUGACGGCCCUAUGGGUUGUAAACUGCUUUUAGGUGGGGAUAAAGUGCGUGACGUGUCAUGCAUUGCAGGUACCACAUGAAUAAGGACCGGCUAAUUCCGUG
rnacentral:rRNA from 1 species